rnacentral:piRNA from 1 species
UGCCUGAAAAUACACACAGUGCUGUUGC